CGACGUGAGUAACCUGCCUCUAAGAGGGGAAUAACAUUCUGAAAAGAAUGCUAAUACCGCAUAACAUAUAUUUAUCGCAUGGUAGAUAUAUCAAAGAUUUAUCGCUUAGAGAUGGACUCGCGUCCGAUUAGUUAGUUGGUGAGGUAACGGCUCACCAAGACUGCGAUCGGUAGCCGGACUGAGAGGUUGAACAGCCACAUUGGGACUGAGACACGGCCCAG
rnacentral:rRNA from 1 species